GGUUGACUGGAUGGUCGUCUGCUGCUCUUGCUUAGACUUAGGCAUCUGCAUUUAGCUGAGGGUUCAGCCAGGGCUGGACAUCCUUUAAUGGCCUCAUUCCCAUGUCUGGGGCCUCAGGUCAGAUAGCUGGGACUACCGGGUCUCACUCCAGAAGAGGUUUCUUCAGAGCAUGGUAGUCUUGGGGUUCUAAGAGAAUGAGAGUAGAAGCUGCAAAACCUCUUGAAACUGGGGCUUGGGAGUCACACAUGACUUUCUCCACAUUCUGUUCGUCAAAAGCGAAU
rnacentral:lncRNA from 10 species